UCCAUUCAACCUCUGGAUGGAAAAAGAGAGAUCAAUGUGAGAGGUCACUAUAGAGCAGACCUGGAAGUGCAUCCCGACUGCUCACUUUCCUCUGGACAUGCCUGUCACGGGACCCACCACAUGGCCCUACCUAACUGCAUGUGGGGCUGGGAGACGUAGUCAAGCUCUGUAUCUGGAAGGUUGUUCCUUUAUUAUUCCAUGUGCUGUAUCAGAUCACACCACCAACAGACCUGAAGACGCAGCCAGUGUCCUCAUCAUUUUUCACACAAAAAAAGAAAUCCACAUACAGAAGGAACCACAUCAUGUGCUGCAAUGCGGCUUCUUCUCCCUGCUCUCUCUCCUCCUCUCUACUUGGUGUUACGUCAGUGUGAUUGCCCUUAGUGUCUUUUUGUCCUAAACCAAGAGGGCACCAUCAGACUCUCCCAUUGUGCAGUGGGCUUAUCCUUAAUGUCUGCUUGUCCUAACCCAAGCGUGCAGCAUUUGACCUUCCUGCUGUGCAGUGUGCAUGUCCUUCAUGCCUGCUUGUCCUAACCCAGGAGGGCACCAUCUGACCCUCUCACUGUGGAGUGUGCUUAGCCUUAAUGUCUGCUUGUCCUAACCCAAGAGUGAACUAUCUGACCCUCCCACUGUGCAGUGUGGUCUGUCUGUCCCACCCCUCUACCACAUCUCUCAUGGUUAGAGAAGCAUCUUGCCUUUCUAUCCCUUCUGUAAUGGUUAGGCAAAGCAACAACAGCAACUACAACAGUGACAAACAACAACGAAGGUCCUCUGUCUUGGUUCAGUAGGGAUGAUUGCAUAGAAAUGGCCAGUUAUUUAUCUUGCUUAUAUUAAAAAACAAA